GACGAACGCUGGCGGCGUGCUUAACACAUGCAAGUCGAACGGAAAGGCACCUUUGGGGGUACUCGAGUGGCGAACGGGUGAGUAACACGUGAGUAACCUGCCCUUGACUUCGGGAUAACUUCCGGCUACUAGGGCUAAUACCGGAUAGAAAUCUUUGCUGCAUGGUGUGGGUUGGUAAUAUUCGGCGGUAUUGGUUAGAAUGGCGGCUCAUUAGCUUGUGGGUGGGGUAGUGGUUUACCAAGGCUUUGGCUGGUAGCCGGCCUGGGAGGGCGACCGUCCACAUUGGGACUGGGAUACGGCCCAGACUCCAACGGGAAGCAGCAGUGGGGAUGAUUGCACAAGGGGCGGAAGCCGGAUGCAGCAACGCCGCGGGCGGGAUGACGGCCUUCGGGUUGUAAACCGCUAUCAGCAGGGGCGAAGCUUGUAGUGACGGUACCUGCAGAAGAAGCACCGGCUAACUACGUG
rnacentral:rRNA from 1 species